GGUCAUAGUGAUCCGGUGGUUCUGAAUGGAAGGGCCAUCGCUCAACGGAUAAAAGGUACUCCGGGGAUAACAGGCUGAUACCGCCCAAGAGUUCAUAUCGACGGCGGUGUUUGGCACCUCGAUGUCGGCUCAUCACAUCCUGGGGCUGAAGUAGGUCCCAAGGGUAUGGCUGUUCGCCAUUUAAAGUGGUACGCGAGCUGGGUUUAGAACGUCGUGAGACAGUUCGGUCCCUAUCUGCCGUGGGCGCUGGAGAACUGAGGGGGGCUGCUCCUAGUACGAGAGGACCGGAGUGGACGCAUCACUGGUGUUCGGGUUGUCAUGCCAAUGGCACUGCCCGGUAGCUAAAUGCGGAAGAGAUAAGUGCUGAAAGCAUCUAAGCACGAAACUUG
rnacentral:rRNA from 1 species